UAUUUUGUUACAGCAGCCCUAGCAAACAAUACAGAUAAUGAUAGCAACUUCAUUGCAUCAGAUAUCAACAAGCAGGAAAAGGUAUACCUCAAGACUUAUGUUGCCUUGUUUUAACACACUGAUUAUUAGGAAUUUCACAUUUGGGGCUUUGGAGCCACUGGUCCAUGCCAGGCCUGUUGUUUCCUUCAGAACUCGCAAUGACUUUUGCUAAAGUUAUCUGCACCCCAGCAUCCUCUGGUGAAUUCCUGUACUUGCCAUCAUCCCUGAUACACUAGGGGUUUUGAAGCCUGUGGACUUUUCUUUUCUCCCUCAUUCAACAGCCUGAUCAUGAAGCAGGAAAGAAAGGAAAAUGUGUGCCACGCCUGACUGGUUUUUGUGUUUUUUUGGUGGAGACGGGGUUUCGCUGUGUUGGCCGGGCUGGUCUCCAGCUCCUAACUGCGAGUGGUCCGCCGGCCUCGGCCUCCAGUGGUGCCGGGAUUGCGGACGGAGUCUGGUUCACUUGGUGCUCGGUGGUGCCCAGGCUGGAGUGCAGUGGCGUGGUCUCGGCUCACUGCGGCCUCCACCUCCCAGCCGCCUGCCUUGGCCUCCCGGGGUGCCGAGAUUGCAGCCUCUGCCUGGCCGCCACCCCAUCUGGGAAGUGGGGAGCGUCUCUGCCUGGCCGCCCAUCGUCUGGGACGUGGGGAGCCCCUCUGCCUGGCUGCCCAGUCUGGAGGGUGAGGAGCGUCUCUGCCAGGCCGCCAUCCCAUCUAGGAAGUGAGGAGCGCCUCUUCCCAGCCGCCAUCCCCUCUGGGAGGUGAGGAGCGUCUCUGCCCGGCCGCCCCGUCUGAGAGGUGGGGAGACCCUCCGCCUGGCAGCCGCCCCAUAUGAGAAGUGAGGAGCCCCUCCGCCCGGCAGCCACCCCGUCUGGGAAGUGAGGAGCGUCUCUGCCCGGCAGCCACCCCAUCCGGGAGGGAGGUGGGGGUCAGCCCCCGCCAGGCCAGCCGCCCCGUCCGGGAGGGAGGUGGGGGGGUCAGCCCCCCGCCCGGCUAGCCGCCCCCUCCGGGAGGUGAGGGGCGCCUCUGCCCGGCCGCCCCUACUGGGAAGUGAGGAGCCCCUCUGCCCAGCCACCACCCUGUCUGGGAGGUGUACCCAACAGCUCAUUGAGAACGGGCCAUGAUGACAAUGGCAGUUUUGUGGAAUAGAAAGGGGGGAAAGGCCGAGAAAGGAUUGAGAAAUCGGAUGGUUGCCAUGUCUGUGUAGAAAGAGGUAGACACGGGAGACUUUUCAUUUUGUUCUGUACUAAGAAAAAUUCUUCUGCCUUGUGAUCCUGUUGAUCUGUGACCCUACCCCCAACCCUGUGCUCUCUGAAACAUGUGCUGUGUCCACUCAGGGUUAAAUGGAUUAAGGGUGGUGCAAGAUGUGCUUUGUUAAACAGAUGCUUGAAGGCAGCAUGCUCGUUAAGAGUCAUCACCACUCCCUAAUCUCAAGCACCCAGGGACACAAACACUGCGGAGGGCCGCAGGGUCCUCUGCCUAGGAAAACCAGAGACCUUUGUUCACUUGUUUAUCUGCUGACCUUCCCUCCACUAUUGUCCUAUGACCCUGCCAAAUCCCCCUCUGUGAGAAACACCCAAGA
rnacentral:lncRNA from 1 species